AUAUCAUGGUGUGGACACUUUCUUAGAAGAUCAUUGUAUCCCUCCCACGCAUCAAAAAGCUAUUCUCCCGGGAUUUGGGAAAAUGCCAUGAUUUCUUUUCUCAUUU